rnacentral:rRNA from 1 species
GCAUCGAUGAGACGCAGCUAGCUGCGAGAAGUAAUGUGAAUUGCAGGACACAUUGAGCAUCGAAUUCUGAACGCAUAUUGCGGCCUCGGGUAAUCCUGGGGCCACGUCUGUCUCAGGGUCUGUAACUUACCGAUCCCUUCUUAAUUGAAGGUGCUUGCGAUUCGUCUUUAUAUUUAAGGCGUGUCGUCAAAGACAGCUGGUCUGGUGUCGUCUCGCUUGAAGCGUGAGCAGCCUGCUGGCCUCGGGUGAGGUUAGUCGACGGUUGGUGUUCGCGUUUAAAAGACUUUACAAGGCCAACGUACAAGGCGCAGACUUUAAAAGUCUCACUUUGGACCUGAGAUCAGGCGGGAUGACCCGCUGAACUUAAGCAUAUCAAUAAGCGGAGGA